GGCCCUACGGGGCGCAGCAGGCGCGAAAACUUUACAAUGCGAGAAAUCGUGAUAAGGGAACCCCGAGUGCCCGUAAAUUCGGGCUGUCCAUCAGUGUAAAUAACUGGUGAAGAAAGGGCCGGGCAAGACCGGUGCCAGCCGCCGCGGUAACACCGGCGGCUCGAGUGGUGGUCACUAUUACUGGGCUUAAAGCGUCCGUAGCUUGGUUGUUAAGUCUCUUGGGAAAUCCACCGGCUCAACCGAUGGGCGUCAGGAGAUACUGGCAACCUAGGGACCGGGAGAGGUGAGGGGUACUCCAGGGGUAGGAGUGAAAUCCUGUAAUCCUUGGGGGACCACCUGUGGCGAAGGCGUCUCACUAGAACGGCUCCGACAGUGAGGGACGAAAGCUGGGGGAGCAAACCGGAUUAGAUACCCGGGUAGUCCCAGCUGUAAACGAUGCGCGUUAGGUGUAUCGGUGACCACGAGUCACCGAGGUGCCGAAGGGAAACCGUGAAACGUGCCGCCUGGGAAGUACGGUCGCAAGGCUGAAACUUAAAGGAAUUGGCGGGGGAGCACCACAACAGGUGGAGCCUGCGGUUUAAUCGGACUCA
rnacentral:rRNA from 1 species